UCAAAUUUGGUGGGAGAUGGUUAUAGCUCAAUUUUAAUAUUGAUGUCAUAUCAUUGUCCUCUUGAAUGACGUUUAAGAGUUCAUUAUCCUUGAAGGACAUCCACUCUUCUUCUGAAAUUUUAGAGUAUAACAAGCAUCCAACGUGUCUUAUUACAAGAAGAAUACCUCCACAUCAUGAAAUGGAUUGAGUUUAUUUAUUUAUGAUUUAUAAAAGUAAAAUAUGUGGUCUGUCAAAUCUAUAUUUAAUUUAUUCUGAUUUUUUUGGGCUUCUAUUAAAUACUGAACCACCCACCUCCCCUUCUCUUCUCUAUAUAAUCUCCUCCUCAUCCACCUUCAAUAAUUCAAGAGUCCUCCAUGUCCAAUGUUUUUUUUCCCAAUUUGUGGUAGGGUGCCAUUGUGUUUUUUCACCUGUUGAAGGUGUUAAGGUAUGGAAAGUUCUAUCCUCUUAAUUAUUAUGGUUUGUUAUACUAAUGUGUCCAUCAUUUUUUGUUUCAACUUUAAUUUCAAAUUUGAUCUUGCAACCCUUAGGUGCUCCACUCAUACAUAACAUACGAGUAACAAAGCCCAAACUAAUCCAACCUUCCGUUAGUUUGAGGUUUGUGUUAUGUUAUAUACCAAUUUUUAUAGUUCACUCCCCUUGUAGUACUUUUUUUGGAUUAUUUACACAUAUUUUCGACAUUUGAUUUAUUGUAACUUUUUGUUGUUGUUUAUUCAGUACAUUUGUUUUUUCUUUUUUGUUGAUAAACAUCAUAUAUCGUUGAU